rnacentral:rRNA from 1 species
AUUGAACGCUGGCGGCAGGCCUAACACAUGCAAGUCGAACGAGUGGCGGACGGGUGAGUAAUGUCUGGGAAACUGCCCGAUGGAGGGGGGUAACUACUGGAAACGGUAGCUAAUACCGCAUACCAUCGGAUGUGCACAGAUGGGAUUAGCUAGGAGGUGGGGUAAUGGCUCACCUAGGCGACGAUCCCUAGCUGGUCUGAGAGGAUGACCAGCCACACUGGAACUGAGACACGGUCCAGACUCCUACGGGAUGCAGCAGUGGGGAAUAUUGCACAAUGGGCGCAAGCCUGAUGCAGCCAUGCCGCGUGUAUGAAGAAGGCCUUCGGGUUGUAAAGUACUUUCAGCGAGGAGGCGUUACUCGCAGAAGAAGCACCGGCUAACUCCGUGCCAGCAGCCGCGGUAAUAC